UGAAAUCUGCAAAUCUGGGUU
rnacentral:miRNA from 1 species